AUAUAAGACACAGAGAAAGACACUUGCCAACUAAAGGCACAGAGAAAGACACUUGCCAACUAAAGCCACAGAGAAAGACACUUGCCAACUAAAGGCACAGAGAAAGACACUUGCCAACUAAAGGCACAGAGAAAGACACUUGCCAACUAAAGCCACAGAGAAAGACACUUGCCAACUAAAGGCACAGAGAAAGACACUUGCCAACUAAAGCCACAGAGAAAGACACUUGCCAACUAAAGGCACAGAGAAAGACACUUGCCAACUAAAGGCACAGAGAAAGACACUUGCCAACUAAAGGCACAGAGAAAGACACUUGCCAACUAAAGCCAUAGAGAAAGACACUUGCCAACUAAAGGCACAGAGAAAGACACUUGCCAACUAAAGGCACAGAGAAAGACACUUGCCAACUAAAGGCACAGAGAAAGACACUUGCCAACUAAAGCCACAGAGAAAGACACUUGCCAACUAAAGGCACAGAGAAAGACACUUGCCAACUAAAGCCAUAGAGAAAGACACUUGCCAACUAAAGGCAUGGACUACGAGUUGAUAAACUGAAAAGAUACCGAGAAUAAAGAGAAUAAAGGCUUUCUCUACAUUCGUUCUGACGAAAUUAGCAGGGUUUUCCUGGAAUUAGUGGAAAGACUGUAGACACCACGCCCUUGUCAGCUGUGAGCGCCCUCAUCAAAUGUCUAGCCGUUGGAUAGCAUCUCUUACCCCACCUGGAAACAUGCUCAAAGGUUUUCAACUCUAUGAUUCUAUCUGUCAAUAGCUUGGUGGCUAUCGGACUUGAGACAAAAAUACAUCUACUUCACACAAUCGUCAUCCCAACAGCAACAUAUGCAUGCGAGACAUGGAAGUCAUCUGCCGAA